ACAGCAGCAGCCGCGGUAAUACGAAGGGGGCUAGCGUUGCUCGGAAUGACUGGGCGUAAAGGGCGCGUAGGCGGAUGGCACAGUCAGAUGUGAAAUUCCCGGGCUUAACCUGGGGGCUGCAUUUGAUACGUGUUGUCUAGAGUGAGGAAGAGGGUCGUGGAAUUCCCAGUGUAGAGGUGAAAUUCGUAGAUAUUGGGAAGAACACCGGUGGCGAAGGCGGCGACCUGGUCCUUUACUGACGCUGAGGCGCGAAAGCGUGAGGAGCAAACAGGAUUAGAUACCCGUGUAGUCCCUGUCUCUUAUAC
rnacentral:rRNA from 1 species